ACUCCUGCGGGAGGCAGCAGUGGGGAAUAUUGGACAAUGGGCGCAAACCUGAUCCAGCCAUGCCGCGUGAGUGAUGAAGGCCCUAGGGUUGUAAAGCUCUUUCACCGGUGAAGAUAAUGACGGUAACCGGAGAAGAAGCCCCGGCUAACUUCGUGCCAGCAGCCGCGGUAAUACGAAGGGGGCUAGCGUUGUUCGGAUUUACUGGGCGUAAAGCGCACGUAGGCGGACUAUUAAGUCAGGGGUGAAAUCCCGGGGCUCAACCCCGGAACUGCCUUUGAUACUGGUAGUCUUGAGUUCGAGAGAGGUGAGUGGAAUUCCGGGUGUAGAGGUGAAAUUCGUAGAUAUUCGGAGGAACACCAGUGGCGAAGGCGGCUCACUGGCUCGAUACUGACGCUGAGGUGCGAAAGCGUGGGGAGCAAACAGGAUUAGAUACCCUAGUAGUCCCAUG
rnacentral:rRNA from 1 species